UGAGUUUGAUCCUGGCUCAGAACGUACGCUGGCGGCACGCCUAACACAUGCAAGUCGAACGAAGUAGCAAUACUUAGUGGCAGACGGGUGAGUAACAUGUAGGUAUCUGCCCUUUGGCCUGGAAUAACACGAGGAAACUUGUGCUAAUACCGGAUAAGUCUUUACGGAGAAAGCUUUAUGCACCAUUGGAUGAGCCUGCACUUGAUUAGUUUGUUGGUGGGGUAAUGGCCUACCAAGACUGUGAUCAAUAGCUGAUUUGAGAGGAUGAUCAGCCACAUUGGGACUGAGACACGGCCCAAACUCCUACGGGAGGCAGCAGUGGGGAAUCUUGCACAAUGGAGGAAACUCUGAUGCAGCGAUGCCGCGUGAGUGAAGAAGGCCUUUGGGUUGUAAAGCUCUUUCGUCGGGGAAGAAAAUGACUGUACCCGAAUAAGAAGGUCCGGCUAACUUCGUGCCAGCAGCCGCGGUAAUACGAAGGGACCUAGCGUAGUUCGGAAUUACUGGGCUUAAAGAGUUCGUAGGUGGUUGAAAAAGUUGGUGGUGAAAUCCCAGAGCUUAACUCUGGAACUGCCAUCAAAACUUUUCAGCUAGAGUAUGAUAGAGGAAAGCAGAAUUUCUAGUGUAGAGGUGAAAUUCGUAGAUAUUAGAAAGAAUACCAAUUGCGAAGGCAGCUUUCUGGAUCAUUACUGACACUGAGGAACGAAAGCAUGGGUAGCGAAGAGGAUUAGAUACCCUCGUAGUCCAUGCCGUAAACGAUGUGUGUUAGACGUUGGAAAUUUAUUUUCAGUGUCGCAGCGAAAGCGAUAAACACACCGCCUGGGGAGUACGACCGCAAGGUUAAAACUCAAAUGAAUUGACGGGGACCCGCACAAGUAGUGGAGCAUGUGGUUUAAUUCGAAGAUACGCGCAGAACCUUACCAACACUUGACAUGUUCGUCGCGACUCUAAGAGAUUAGAGUUUUCGGUUCGGCCGGACGAAACACAGGUGCUGCAUGGCUGUCGUCAGCUCGUGUCGUGAGAUGUUGGGUUAAGUCCCGCAACGAGCGCAACCCUCACUUUUAGUUGCCAUCAUUAAGUUGGGCACUCUGAAAGAACUGCCAGUGAUAAGCUGGAGGAAGGUGGGGAUGACGUCAAGUCCUCAUGGCCCUUACGUGUUGGGCUACACACGUGCUACAAUGGUAUCUACAACAGGAAGCAAAACGGCAACGUUAAGCAAAUCCCUAAAAGAUACCUCAGUUCGGAUUGCACUCUGCAACUCGAGUGCAUGAAGCUGGAAUUACUAGUAAUCGUGGAUCAGCGUGCCACGGUGAAUGCGUUCCCGGGUCUUGUACACACCGCCCGUCACACCAUGGGAGUUGGUUCUACCUUAAGGCAAGGUUUUAAACCCUUGACCACGGUAUAGUCAGCGACUGGGGUGAAGUCGUAACAAGGUAACC
rnacentral:rRNA from 1 species